rnacentral:lncRNA from 1 species
UUAAAUACUACCCAGUUCACAGGGUUGUUGUGAGGAUCCAAAAUAAUGUAUGUAUUAAUGAAAUGCCUGGUGCCUAUGCUGCAACCAUGGACACCAUCACUAAAUACUAAGAAGGUGAAAUUCCACGAAGCUUGCUGAAAUCCCUGGAUGGGGGUACUGUCAAGAUGAAGUUAUAAUAAGAAUGUUCCUAGACAGCUAUGAAUUGCAGCCAUUCUUCCCUUUUCCAGAAUAUGUAAAGAAUGUUUGUGUGCCCACGGAGGAGCCGCAUCUAGCCUUUGAGGCUGUCAGCUCAUCUUUCCCAACCCGAGGAUUUUCCUUUCCUCUGACUCCUCCCUUCAUUCUCCCCCACUGACAUCUGUUCACUGCCUCGCCAACCAAGGGGGAAAACAUUCUUUGGAACUGAAGCUGAGGCACCACCAAGAGUCAAGGCAGCUAUGAGAUGUUUAUUGUCACAGAGAAUAUGUGGUGCUGGCUGACCACAGAACCUGCCAGGCUGGGAUGCCAAGGAGUCGAUGCCUAUGUGCUUCCCAAGCUGUAUGUGAAGCUACAUUACUGUGUGAGUUGUGCAAUUCACAGCAAAGUAGUCAGGAAUCGAUCUCGUGAAGCCUGCAAGGACCGAACACCCCCACCCCGAUUUAGACCUGCGGGUGCUGCCCCACGUCCCCCACCAAAGCCCAUGUAAGGAGCUGAGUUCUUAAAGACUGAAGACAGGCUAUUCUCUGGAGAAAAAUAAAAUGGAAAUUGUACUUAAAAAAAAAAAAAAA